AAACCUUUGCUUUGUUUUGUUUUUUUAUUUUAUGUAUCUUUGCUUUCCUUUACUCUUCUGAAUAUUUAUUUAUAAAUUUUCUUCAUAGACGAGCGUUGUUUUCACUCUUGAAGAAGGUCCUGGUGUACUAUUUAAAGCCUUAGCAGUAUUUGCUCUUAGGGGCAUUAACUUGACAAAGAUAGAGAGUCGCCCACAGAAGCAACGUCCACUAAGGGUUGUGGAUGAUUCAAAUGAAGGGAGUGCCAAGUAUUUCGACUACCUCUUUUACAUUGACUUUGAGGCUUCUAUGGCAGAGCCCCGUGCCCAAUAUGCUUUGGGACAUCUGCAGGAAUUUGCAACAUUUCUUCGUGUCCUUGGUAGCUACCCAAUGGACACGAUUCCAUAGAAGGCAGUCGUUUCUUGGGCUCAAUUUCGUAAUGGUUUUGGUUUCCAGACAUGCAAACACAGUUCAACCUUCAAUGUUGUAUAUAUGUGGGCGCUGAAGCUGCAUACACAGAUCAAGCUUCAAAUGAGGAGACAAUUCCUUGCAAAGCUUCAUUUUUCUUUCCUUUUCGACUCUAUAUCAUUCUUUAUUUCCUCUGAACGGGGGUUUUUACUGUUUCAGGACUGUCUUGAUAUCUUGAUACAACACCGGGAGGGUCCCUCCCGACUACCCAAAGUACAAUCUGUAAACAACACCGCAGGAUUCAUGAAAGACAGA